AAAUUGGACCAGCAUAAACCAGCUCAAACCAGCAUACCAGCUUCAAAACCUACCUUACCAGCAUAUGCUGUUUUUUUCAGCAGGGAAGUAAAAUAGUAGACCUUCUCUCACUUAAAUUUCAGAAAAUAAGUUCUCAAAUUCCUCUAUAGACGUUAUAGGAAACGGCGUUUGCGUUUGAGUACCAGGAAAUGGGCGGGGCUUAAUUGUCUGGAUAUUGUCUCUAAUUGAAAAGGAGGGAGAAAUCAAAAUGGACCUGAAGGAGACUGGAUCCAGAGCGUGCUGGGAUCAGAUCACUUUUUUAAGCAGAAGCAUAUUGAUUUAUAUGGAGCUGUAAUUGCUACAAUAUGUUCUGGAUGACUCUCCCGUAGUUGAGGCCUGGCAAAGACGCACUCCUGGAAAUGCCCAGUGCCAGGCAGCGGGUAGAGAGGCACCCCACCCAAUCCCCUGUGCGAGCAAGAGGGGAGAGCAUCCCCAACCCUGCCCUAUCUUCAUUUACGGCAGAGGCUUCCCUGUUCACAGGUUCAGUGAGCAUUUACUCAUCUGAUAAAGGGCAAGAAUUUGGCAAUGUGUGUAAAAGCUGAAACUUGCAGUCCAUUGAUAAGUUUGUACUUUCAUUGCACCUUACAAGCUGGCAUGGGUUUGUCAUAAUGGCCUGUGCUUUCACUAUAUAAUGAGCAUAAAACCUUGAAGGUAUACAGUAGUUUUCAUUCAUCGUUUUUGUCUAACAAAAUUAAACAAAAAGUUUUCUUAAAGGGAUAGUUCACCCAAAAAAUGAA